rnacentral:rRNA from 1 species
CCUACGGGUGGCAGCAGUGAGGAAUAUUGGUCAAUGGACGAGAGUCUGAACCAGCCAAGUAGCGUGAAGGAUGACUGCCCUAUGGGUUGUAAACUUCUUUUAUAUGGGAAUAAAACAGGGAAUGUGUACCAUAUUGUAUGUACUUUAUGAAUAAGGAUCGGCUAACUCCGUGCCAGCAGCCGCGGUAAUACGGAGGUUCCGAGCGUUAUCCGGAUUUAUUGGGUUUAAAGGGAGCGUAGGUGGGUUGUUAAGUCAGUUGUGAAAGUUUGCGGCUCAACCGUAAAAUUGCAGUUGAUACUGGCAGUCUUGAGUACAGUAGAGGUAGGAGGAAUUCGUGGUGUAGCGGUGAAAUGCUUAGAUAUCACGAAGAACACCGAUUGCGAAGGCAGCUUACUAAACUGUGACUGACACUGAUGCUCGAAAGUGUGGGUAUCAAACAGGAUUAGAUACCCUAGUAGUC